UACAAAAGAUUGAACAUUUCUCAUAUUGCACCAAGACAUGAUCCCAUUUUUCCUAUGCAAGCCUAACCUGUGUACACCCCUGGCAAUUUAUAGAGGGUGAGUGAUGUGUGAAAAGGAAUUUUUCUAGUGAAAUACAUAGUUCUGUGAAAAAUAAAGUCUUGUAUAUAAAAUUCCCAUCUGAGUUGCAUUUUUUGACUAAUGGAUUUGCCUCAUCAAAUCAGUUCUUUAUGAUGGAGAAUGGAUGUAAUCCCUACUCAUUCAAUUUUUUUCCAAUUUUGCUUGGCUAAAAUUAGCUAUGACCUUUAUUUAUAGAAUUCCUGUACUGAGUUAUUUACUGCCUAUCAGAGUAGCUUCUGGCGAAUUUCCAAUUGAUGAACAGAAGUUCUCAUGGUUGAGAAGAGUUUGCAGUAGUUGAUGUACAUUUUAUUUAAUUUUGUAUGAAUUUUAAUAUGAAUAUUGAUGUAAAGUUGUUAGGCUCAUUCUUAUAUUAAUUUGAACUUAUAUUUAUUAGAAAUCUCAUAUGUAAAGAGUAUGAAGUAAAAAGAUAAUAUAUAAGUGAUUGGAUUGCAG
rnacentral:misc_RNA from 1 species